AUCCUUUUGUAGUUCAUAAGCAUGAUUGGAUGCUCAUGUUCUUGUGUGUGAUGUGCCUCCCACAAACACCUUAUUAUGACUUUGGCACAUUACCCAUCUGACA